rnacentral:misc_RNA from 1 species
GAUGAAGAACGUAGCGAAAUGCGAUAAGUAAUGUGAAUUGCAGAAUUCAGUGAAUCAUCGAAUCUUUGAACGCACAUUGCGCCCGCCAGUAUUCUGGCGGGCAUGCCUGUCUGAGCGUCAUUUCAACCCUCAUGCCCCUAGGGCGUGGUGUUGGGGAUCGGCCAAAGCCCGCGAGGGACGGCCGGCCCCUAAAUCUAGUGGCGGACCCGUCGUGGCCUCCUCUGCGAAGUAGUGAUAUUCCGCAUCGGAGAGCGAUGAGCCCCUGCCGUUAAACCCCCAACUUUCAAAGGUUGACCUCAGAUCAGGUAGGAAUACCCGCUGAACUUAAGCAUAUCAAUAAGCGGAGGA